rnacentral:lncRNA from 1 species
GGCGGCAUGUCAAAAUGGCAGGCAUCUUUUUCUACAAGAAGAACGAAACUGACGAAAGAUUUUCAGAAUUUCAUUGGCAAGAUAAAAACAAGAAACUGAUCCAUAUAAUUUUCUCUGGUUUUUACUGUGAAUUCUUCUGAGUUCUGACUGCAUAUUUUCUAACUGCCACCGAUGGUUCAGCCAUAAUGUACAACAGCUUAAUCUUGCUGCUUCUAGAAAAAUACUAGUAAUGAUUAUAAUUUUUUGUCUUGUGUACAAUAUCUUUCAGCAAGGACUAAGGUCCUUCUUUUUUAAGGGAGUAAGGAGAAGUGAGAACCAAAGAUAAUCCUCUAUUAAUUCUUAUUCAUGCAUAUGUGAGAUUGUACAAUCUGCUAUACUAAUUGAUAGUGUCAGUACUGUCUCUAAUUUUAUGCAACUUAUA